rnacentral:rRNA from 1 species
AUACGUAGGGGGCGAGCGUUGUCCGGAAUGAUUGGGCGUAAAGGGCGCGUAGGCGGCCCGGUAAGUCUGGAGUGAAAGUCCUGUUUUUAAGAUGGGAAUUGCUUUGGAUACUGUCGGGCUUGAGUGCAGGAGAGGUAAGUGGAAUUCCCAGUGUAGCGGUGAAAUGCGUAGAGAUUGGGAGGAACACCAGUGGCGAAGGCGACUUACUGGACUGUAACUGACGCUGAGGCGCGAAAGUGUGGGGAGCAAACAGGAUUAGAUACCCUGGUAGUCCACACUGUAAACGAUGAAUACUAGGUGUAGGGGGUAUCGACUCCCUCUGUGCCGCAGUUAACACAAUAAGUAUUCCGCCUGGGGAGUACGGCCGCAAGGUUGAAACUCAAAUGAAUGGACGGGG